GCCGAGGGCGCUUGAUUCACGUCCAAGAUCGGUCUGCUUUCUGCAUGCAUACAGUAUACGAUCUCAAGACCAGUCGAAAGAAGGAUAUACAUAUCGAUGUCGUUUACCCGAAUGGUCGUGGAGGAGAUGACGCCAUUGUGCCGGCUUCUGCUGACAGGAGGAAGACGAUGGUUGGGAAGCGGAAGAGGAAUGCAGGAGACCAGGGAAGCCAUUGCUGGAGAAGCUGAGACUGAGGCUGAGGCCCAGAGCUGGUGAUGGACGAGGGAUCCACGGCAGAGACUCGGAAUCUGGGUAUCACUGGUAGGCGGAUGGUCUACUAAAUAGUUGGUGUAUUCCUGUUGCUUCCAACUCAAUCAUGACUGGUGCAUGUGUGACCGUGCAAGUGCUUCAGUAGUCAUUAGCGUCUCAAUUAUCUCAUUCGUCA